rnacentral:rRNA from 1 species
UACGGAGGAUCCAAGCGUUAUUCGGAUUUAUUGGGUUUAAAGGGUGCGCAGGCGGAAGAUUAAGUCGGCGGUGAAAUUUUGCAGCUCAACUGUAAAAGUGCCUUCGAAACUGGUUUCCUUGAGUGUAGAUGAAGUAGGCGGAAUUUGUGGUGUAGCGGUGAAAUGCAUAGAUAUCACGAGGAACUCCGAUUGCGCAGGCAGCUUACUAAACUACUACUGACGCUCAGGCACGAAGGCGUGGGGAUCAAACAGGAUUAGAUACCCGCGUAGU